AGCUCCAAUAGCGUAUAUUAAAGUUGCUGCAGUUAAAAAGCUCGUAGUUGCAUUUCCGAGGCAAGGGAUUAGUCCGACCUUUGGUGGGUAUUUAAUCCUCUUGCCUCGUCCUUGAGUGGUGCUUCUUGGUAUUAAGUUAUCGAGGAGAUAGCCGCUCAUCGUUUACUGUGAGAAAAUUAGAGUGUUCAAAGCAGGCUUAUGCCGUUGAAUAUAUUAGCAUGGAAUAAUAAGAUAGGACCUCGGUACUAUUUUGUUGGUUUGAGAACCAAGGUAAUGAUGAAUAGGGACAGUUGGGGGUAUUCGUAUUCAUUUGUAAGAGGUGAAAUUCUUAGAUUAAAGGAAGACGAACUACUGCGAAAGCAUUUAGCAGGGAUGUUUUCA
rnacentral:rRNA from 1 species